rnacentral:rRNA from 1 species
AUGGGGCGCGGCGGGCGCGAAGGCGGGCGCGGCAGGACGGGGGCGCGGCGGGCGCGGCAGGACGCGGGCGCGACGGCGGGCGUGGCAGACGCGGGCACGGCUGUCGCAGCGGGAAAGCGGCGCGGCGGCCGCGGCCUGACGCGGGAGCGGGCGGGUGCGGCGGCUGGACACAAGCGCCUGGCCUGGCCUCGCCGCGCCGCGCCAUGCUCGUGGCGCUCGCCGUGCCGCCCAGCUGUGGGGUUCGAGCUCGCCCGUCGGCCUUCCGCGCGCGCUACGACCUCCCCUGCCCUGCUUGCUACGUGUUUGAGGAAAUGCCAACACGGACAUGCAUAA